AGUAACCUGGAACGUCUCAAGGCAGACCUGCAGGCUGUAGUACAGGGUGAAGAAGAUCAGGUAUAUGAUCAGAAGAUGAGGUAUAUUGGGGUCCUUCACAGGUGUACACACCUGUGGAGAGUCUGUUAAGUAAUGGCUGCAUGACCCUGCUGAUUGUGUGGUACAAAGAAAACUCACCUAAAGCAAGUGCAGGAGAGUACUGGGGCUCGACAUGAAACUGCAGAGCUUUUUCAGCACCUUGAAAAUACUUAACUAGACGUAAACAACAAAACAGAACAUGGCAUAAGUGUGAGUUAAGGACAGGACUACCAGCUCAACGAAUCUUCUCACACAGAAGGAGAUUACUGCAGAAAGCCAGAUGACCGAUGACCUGGGCAUCUGAAGCUGAUGGUUUCACCAGAGCUGAAUGAUACUUCUAUUUUUUCUACAGUGUUCUAUGUCAUCAAAAAAAUGGCAGAAACAUCAGUAGGUUGUGGUGCCACCCAGAGGAACCUGGACAGGUUGGUAAAACAGAAACCUCAUGAAGUUCAACAAGGAGAAAUGCAAAGUCCAUCUUGUGGGGAGGAACAACCCCAGGCACCGGGAUGUACUGGGGGCCAUCCAGCUGGAAAGGAGCCUGGCAGAAAAGGUCUGUAAAUACCUGAAAGGACAGUGCAAGGAAGACAAGAGUCUGUGUCUUUUCAGUGGUGUCCAGUGCCAAGACAAGAGGCAAUGGGCACAAACUGGAGGAACCACGUGAGUUUUCUGCUGAACAUCAGGAGAAAACUCUUUACUGUGAAGGUGACGGAGCACUGGUGCAGGUUGCCCAGAGGCUGCAGAGUCUAUCUCCUUGGAGAUCUUCAAAAGAAGAUCUAACCUAAAACAUGCUUUAGGUGGCCCUUCUUGAACAGGGGGUUGGACCAGAUGGACCCAGAGAUCCCUUCCAACGUCAACUAUUCUGUGAUUCUGUGGAGUGCCAUAAGGGAAACUGUAAGCCAAAAAAAGCAGGGGAGUAUAAUACAGUAUGGCUUUUUCUGACUUAAUGCUGACUUCAGACUACAAAACCAGAGGAAUCCACCACCACCAAAAUGCUGUUAUUCAGAGAGCAGUGUAGCCAGUAACCGAUCGGACUGAAUGUACUCCGGUAAAACUUUCAUUCAGCAGUUGUUCCUGUUCUUCCAUUUCAUGUUCAAGGACUUACAUACGUGUAGCACGAGGUGAAAAUUCUGCUGCUGUUAGGUUUCCUACAUGAAUUAUGAGGAUCCAAGGUUACACUUUCUAGUGUGUCAGGCAAGCUGUGUCAUCUGGGGCAGUAAAACAGCAGCACUGUAUAGAAUGUCAUGGAAGUCUGAUCUUCCAAGUAACUCAAUCACAAACUGAGGUCUAUUAAACACAUUAAAUUCUGUUUUGCUUUGUUAUUUAAUCUUCCUGCUUUAAUAAUGUGUUCAUGAUUAGUUAGUGUUUAUUGCCCUUCAGGAGGCUAUUUGCCUCUAGAAAUAUGACUUCCUUUAAUAGGUAAGAAACAGUGAGUUUGUUGUGCAUUCAUGCUGCAGUAUUUGGGAGACACCGCACACUCUGAAGAACCCAAUUUCUCCCUCAGAACUCAGUCUCCAUGUUACAUGUUCAUGGUCUCCGUUUCGUCCAAGGACGGUAGCUCUUUAACUAUUUCUCUGAGUGUGGUUAGAGAGGACUGAUAUAAAUUCAUAUAGCAGGAAAUCAUUUUUUCAUGUUCUUCAGAGUGAACUCACAGUUUUUUCUUGUUCCCUCCCCUCAUUUCCAGGAACAGGCCAAAGAGCUGUGGCUUUCUUUGCUCUGUGCUGGUAUCUUCCCUAUUGUGGGCAAGCAGUUUGCUUAUGCUACUCUCACUUGCCCAGGUGUCCAUUACAUCUGGGGUAUGCACAGGGCAACAUCUUGCAAAACUGUUUUGCAGAUCUUUGCAACCAUCUAUUUUUGAAAGCAGCUUUGAAAUAAACUUCUCACAGAAUAAUGAUAGUGAGGACUC
rnacentral:lncRNA from 1 species